CUGACUGAAGCUGUUAUCAGAAACUUGC
rnacentral:piRNA from 1 species